AUUACAUCCAGUAUCUCUUAUUUAGCACAAGCGCAUUUCAGAUUAAUGAUGCAUUGUGGGAUGGGAUGCUAUUGACAUAGCGACAGGAGUGUUGAUUGAAGAACAGUCUUGUUUUUAUCAAUAACUUUGGGGAAUUUGUCAUUUCAGCAGCUGCCAUGAACGGGUCAGUGGCCCAAAAGACCCAAGACACUUUAGGGAAAGUUAUAAAGAAACCGCCGCUUACUGAAAAACUGCUCAGCAAACCGCCGUUUAGGUAUCUGCACGACAUAUUCAGUGAGGUGAUCCGGACCACUGGCUUCAUGAAGGGACUCUAUGCAGAGACUGAGAUGAAGUCAGACAAUGUAAAGGAUAAGGAUGCUAAGAUAGCGUUCCUGCAGAAGGCCCUAGAUGUGGUGAUGCUGGUCAUCGGCGAGCCCCUGUCGGCCAAGCCAGCACGCAUUGUAGCCGGCCAUGAGCCUGAGAGGACCAACGAGCUGCUACAGGCCAUCGCCAAGUGCUGCCUCAACAAGCUGUCCAGUGAGGAGGCGGUGAAGCGGGUGCUGGCCGGGGACAAGCUGGACCCCAAGGGGAAGGCCAGCUCCUCCCGGUCCCAGGACAAGGAGAACAGGGAGGGACGAGAGCGCCAACGAGACCAAGUGGAGAGGAAGGAGAUCCGAGAGCACAGUGCCGGGGGUUGGGAGCAGAAGGACCCAGACCUGCCCAAAGAGCAAGAGGGCAGGCGGGGCGACAAGGAGAAGGAGCGCCACCGCGAGAGAGAAAGGUCAAAGAAGAGCCGUGAUCGAGACCGUACCAAAGACCGUGGCAAGGACAAGAGCCGGGACCGAGAGUGGGACAAAGACAACGAAAGAGAGAAAGACAGAGAACGAGACAAGGAUAGCGAGAGGGACAGAGAAAAGAGCAAAGUCAAGGAGUCGCACAGAGGGAGAGAUCGAGAGAGGGAUAAGGAGAAAGAUUUAGACCGGGAUAAACGGCGAGACAAGGGAGAGAAGGAGGGAGAGCUCCGACACAAACAGGGGGAGGAGAAGGGUGACAAAAAGGCCAGAGCGUCAGAGGACACAAAACACAGACCCCAUCCAGAGGAGCCCAGUAAAACGGCCAAACCUGAACCAGCGGCUGAAGAUGAUGAACAGGAGACAGCGGAAGUCACAUACAAGCAGUCUGACAGUCCAGCCAGAAUACCUCGGCCUUCAUCUGCCAAGGGGCAGAGGCGCUGGCCCAAAGCAGGAGGCCAACAAGAAGAGUUUGACAGUGAAGACGGAGACGCUCCGUUGGCACAGAGGCCGGUCCCCCUGGAGAACGGAGAUGCCACAGACGCAGUGCCAGCCCACACGGCCCUCAGGAGGAUACCUCGGCCCAGCAGCACCCGGCCUGCCCCUCCUCGGGUCAAGAGGCAGGAGAGCUACACUGACGUGACCCCAGCUGAAAGGCUGACCAGUGCCAAGCCCCCAGCGGCCGUCAUCACGGAGGGGAAGAAGCUUUCUGAGGAUGAAGAUGAGCAGUUUGUGGUGUUGGAGGCCGCCCCUCCUCCCCCCGACAUGCCCGAGAUGGAGCCAACAGUGGAACUCCAAGGCGAUGAGAAUCAUGGUGGGCUGGUGAAAAAAAUCCUUGAAACCAAGAAAGACUUUGAAACAUCACCAUCAUCUCCAAAGUCGAAAGACCAGACCCAGAGCCUGGUGUCGGAGGCGUCCAGGAAGAAGGAGCGGGACCUGGUGUCUAGAGAGAUUGAGCGGCUGCGCUCGUCCAUCCAGACGGUGUGCCGCAGCGCCCUGCCCCUAGGCAAGAUCAUGGAUUACAUCCAGGAGGACAUGGAUGCCAUGCAGAACGAGCUGCACACCUGGAGGAGGGAGAACAAGGAACAUACGCAGGCACUGCUGCAUGAACAGAGAGUGACGGACAGCGCGGUGGAGCCUCUGAAGGCCGAGCUAGCCGAGCUUGAGCAGCUGAUCAAGGAGCAGCAGGACAAGAUCUGCGCCGUCAAGUCCAACAUCCUGAAGAAUGAGGACAAGAUCCAGAAGAUGGUAACCAGCAUCAACUUCUCCUCGCGAAUAUGAGGGGGAGCCAAGGUCCAAAUAAGGGAUUAUCGCCCUUAAAAAAGCACAGAGCGUUCAGGGUGUGGCAUAUCAAGAAGCUGAUUAAACAGCAUGCUCAUUACACAGGUGCACCUUAUGCUGUGGACAAUAAAAAGCCACUUUAAAAUGUGCAGGUUUGUCAUACAACACAAUGCCACAAAUGUCUCAACUUUUGAGGGAGCAUGCAAUUGGCAUGCUGACUGCAGGAAUGCCCACCAGAGCUGUUGCCAGAUAAUUUAAUGUACAUUUCUCUACCAUAAUCUGCCUCCAACAUUUGACAGUUCUUCCAACCAGCCUCACAACUGCAGAACACUUGUAACCACGCCAGCCCAGGACCUGCACAUCUGGCUUCUUCACCUGCGGGAUUGUCUGAGGAGGGGUGGGAGGGGUGCUGAGAAGUAUUACUGUCUGUAUUAAAGCCUUUUUGUGGGGAAGAACCAUUCUGAUUGGCUGGUCCUGGCUCCCUGGUGGGCCUAAGCCCCCUCAGUCCCACCCAUGGCUGCAACCCUGCCCAGUCAUGUGAAAUCCAUAGAUUAGGGGCUAAUUAAUUUUUUUCAAUUGACUGAUUUCCUUAUAUGAACUGUAACUUAGUCAAAUCUUUGAAAUUGUUACAUGUUGCGUUUUAUAUUUUUGGUCCGUAUAGUUUUUUGACAUUACAUACUGUAUCCAUUGUGGGAAUAAGGCUUGACAUUGCUUGAAGCUGUAAAAUAACUCCAAAGGGCACAUGGACCAAGCCAACACCCUCCACUUCUACUUGAUAUACAUUUGAUACAGACAUCUGUAAUUUUUAAACAUGUCUGUCAAUUAACAACUCUGUUUACCUGAAGCUUCUUCAAAGCCUGUACAAAGCAAUAGAUCUGAGGUUUGCUCAGGAGCUAGGGACGCUAUGAGCAGAAGACAUGGCAGUCCUUUGACUCUUCCUUCUGUCAACCACUAUGCUUGUCCCAGAUCUGUUUCAAGGUCAGCAAGGUCAGCAAGACAUCAAAAACAGACCUGGGAUCAGGCUAGUCGAGCACCACUGUGCUUUGAGAAAUUGGGUUAGUAUAGAACUGUUCACCCAUUGAAACAGUAGCUUUGGAGUUAAAAGUAACAUGACAUUUUCAUAGAUAAAAAUAUAUAUACACUACCAGUCAUACUCAUUCAAGGUUUUUUUUUUUUUUUUUACCAUUUUCUACAUUG